rnacentral:rRNA from 2 species
UGAACGCUGGCGGUAUGCCUAACACAUGCAAGUCGAACGCAAUUCUUCAGAAUUGAGUGGCGGACGGGUGAGUAACACGUGAGAAUCUGCCUUUUGGUCGGGGAUAACAGUGGGAAACGACUGCUAAUACCCGAUGAGCUGAGAAGUAAAAAAUUUAUUGCUAAAAGAAGAGCUCGCGCCUGAUUAGCUAGAUGGUGGAAUAAAAGCCUACCAUGGCAACGAUCAGUAGCUGGUCUGAGAGGAUGAGCAGCCACACUGGGACUGAGACACGGCCCAGACUCCUACGGGAGGCAGCAGUGGGGAAUUUUCCGCAAUGGGCGAAAGCCUGACGGAGCAAUACCGCGUGAGGGAGGAAGGCUCUUGGGUCGUAAACCUCAAAACUUAGGGAAGAAGAAAGUGACGGUACCUAAUAUAAGCAUCGGCUAACUCCGUGCCAGCAGCCGCGGUAAUACGGAGGAUGCAAGCGUUAUCCGGAAUCAUUGGGCGUAAAGAGUCUGUAGGUGGCACUUCAAGUCUGCUGUUAAAGACCGAAGCUUAACUUCGGAAAGGCGGUGGAAACUGAAGAGCUAGAGUAAAGCAGGGGUAGAGGGAAUUCCUAGUGUAGCGGUGAAAUGCGUAGAGAUUAGGAAGAACACCAGUGGCGAAGGCGCUCUACUGGGCUGAUACUGACACUCAGAGACGAAAGCUAGGGUAGCGAAAGGGAUUAGAUACCCCUGUAGUCUUAGCGGUAAACGAUGGAUACUAGGCGUAGGUCUUUUUAAAGAGAACUGUGUCGAACUUACGCGUUAAGUAUCCCGCCUGGGGAGUACGCACGCAAGUGUGAACUCAAAGGAAUUGGACGGGGACCCGCACAAGCGGGGGAGUAUGUGGUUUAAUUCGAUGAACGCGAAAAACCUUACCAAAG